rnacentral:rRNA from 1 species
GGAUAACCUGCCCUUGGGUCCGGCAUAACCCCGGGAAACUGGGGAUAAUUCCGGAUAACGCACAUAUGCUGGAAUGCUUUAUGCGUAAAAUGGAUUCGUCUGCCCAAGGAUGGGUCUGCGGCCUAUCAGGUAGUAGUGGGUGUAAUGUACCUACUAGCCUACGACGGGUACGGGUUGUGAGAGCAAGAGCCCGGAGAUGGAUUCUGAGACAUGAAUCCAGGCCCUACGGGGCGCAGCAGGCGCGAAAACUUUACAAUGCGGGAAACCGUGAUAAGGGGACACCGAGUGCCAGCAUCCUAUGCUGGCUGUCCGGGUGUGUAAAAUACACCUGUUAGCAAGGGCCGGGCAAGACCGGUGCCAGCCGCCGCGGUAACACCGGCGGCCCGAGUGGUGAUCGUGAUUAUUGGGUCUAAAGGGUCCGUAGCCGGUUUGGUCAGUCCUCCGGGAAAUCUGACAGCUUAACUGUUAGGCUUUCGGAGGAUACUGCCAGACUUGGAACCGGGAGAGGUAAGAGGUACUACAGGGGUAGGAGUGAAAUCUUGUAAUCCCUGUGGGACCACCUGUGGCGAAGGCGUCUUACCAGAACGGGUUCGACGGUGAGGGACGAAAGCUGGGGGCACGAACCGGAUUAGAUACCCGGGUAGUCCCAGCCGUAAACGAUGCUCGCUAGGUGUCAGGCAUGGCGCGACCGUGUCUGGUGCCGCAGGGAAGCCGUGAAGCGAGCCACCUGGGAAGUACGGCCGCAAGGCUGAAACUUAA